rnacentral:misc_RNA from 1 species
GAUGAAGAACGCAGCGAAAUGCGAUACGUAAUGUGAAUUGCAGAAUUCAGUGAAUCAUCGAAUCUUUGAACGCAUAUUGCGCUCUCUGGUAUUCCGGAGAGCAUGCUUGUUUGAGUAUCAGUAAACACCUCAACUCCCUUUUCUUUUUUGAAAUUGGAGCUGGACUUGAGUGAUCCCAACGCUUUCUUCCAAGAAAGUGGCGGGUUGCUUGAAAUGCAGGUGCAGCUGAACUUUUCUCUGAGCUAUAAGCAUAUCUAUUUAGUCUGCCUAAAAAACAGAUUAUUACCUUUGCUGCAGCUAACAUAAAGGAGACUAGUUCUUGUGCUGACUGAUGCAGGAUUCACAGAGACAGCUUCGGCUGACUUUGUAAACUCGAUCUCAAAUCAAGUAAGACUACCCGCUGAACUUAAGCAUAUCAAUAGCGGAGGA